GAUGAACGCUAGCUACAGGCUUAACACAUGCAAGUCGAGGGGCAGCAUGAACAUAGCUUGCUAUGUUUGAUGGCGACCGGCGCACGGGUGCGUAACACGUAUCCAAUCUGCCCGUCACUCGGGGAUAGCCUUCUGAAAGGAAGAUUAAUACCCGAUGGCAUGCAUUUCCGGCAUCGGAGAUGCAUUAAAGAUUCAUCGGUGACGGAUGAGGAUGCGUACGAUUAGCUUGUUGGCGGGUAACGGCCCACCAAGGCAACGAUCGUUAGGGGUUCUGAGAGGAAGGUCCCCCACACUGGUACUGAGACACGGACCAGACUCCUACGGGAGGCAGCAGUGAGGAAUAUUGGUCAAUGGGCGCAAGCCUGAACCAGCCAAGUCGCGUGAGGGAAGACGGCCCUACGGGUUGUAAACCUCUUUUGUCGGGAGCAAAUUGAUGACGCGUCAUCAGGUGAGAGUACCUUACGAAUAAGCAUCGGCUAAUUCCG
rnacentral:rRNA from 1 species